rnacentral:rRNA from 1 species
GUUGACCUCGGAUCAGGUAGGGAUACCCGCUGACU